rnacentral:tRNA from 1 species
GAGGCCGCGUAAGCUCCUGUGUCUUGUUUGGAGCCGCUGACUUUUAAUCAGAGGGUCCUGGGUUCAAGCCCCAGCGCGCUCACCA